GACGAACGCUGGCGGCGUGCCUAAUACAUGCAAGUCGAACGCAGUGGGGACGGGUGAGUAACACGUGGGUAACCUCCCAUCAGAGGGGAUAACACUUGGAAACAGGUGCUAAACCGAUAUUGAUGGAUGGACCCGCGGUUCAUUAGCUAGUUGGUGAGGUAACGGCUCACCAAGGCCCAGAUGCAGAGCCGACCUGGGAGGGUGAUCGGCACCACAGGGACUGAGACACGGCCCAGACUCCUACGGGAGGCAGCAGUGGGGAAUAUUGCACAAUGGGCGCAAGCCUGAUGCAGUCAUGCCGCGUGUAUGAAGAAGGCCUUCGGGUUGUAAAGUACUUUCAGCGGGGAGGCGUUACCCGCAGAAGAAGCACCGGCUAACUCCGUGCCAGCAGCCGCGGUAAUUC
rnacentral:rRNA from 1 species